GCGCGAGUGGCUCAGUGGUGGAGUGUCGCCUUGCCAAGGCGAAGGUCGCGGGUUCGAAUCCCGUCUCGCGCU
rnacentral:tRNA from 1 species